AUUGAACGCUGGCGGCAUGCUUUACACAUGCAAGUCGAACGGUAACAGGCCGCAAGGUGCUGACGAGUGGCGAACGGGUGAGUAAUGCAUCGGAACGUGCCCAGUCGUGGGGGAUAACGCAGCGAAAGCUGUGCUAAUACCGCAUACGAUCUAUGGAUGAAAGCGGGGGACCGUAAGGCCUCGCGCGAUUGGAGCGGCCGAUGUCAGAUUAGGUAGUUGGUGGGGUAAAGGCCUACCAAGCCGACGAUCUGUAGCUGGUCUGAGAGGACGACCAGCCAAACUGGGACGGAGAAACGGCCCAGACUCCUACGGGAGGCAGCAGUGGGGAAUUUUGGACAAUGGGCGCAAGCCUGAUCCAGCAAUGCCGCGUGCAGGAAGAAGGCCUUCGGGUUGUAAACUGCUUUUGUACGGAACGAAACGGCCUGGGUUAAUACCCUGGGCUAAUGACGGUACCGUAAGAAUAAGCACCGGCUAACUACGUGCCAGCAGCCGCCGUAAGAC
rnacentral:rRNA from 1 species